GGCUCAAUCAUCUAUUAAGGCUUUCGCUGGUCGUAAUGUCAGUCACUUCUCAUCUACAACCAUAGUCCUUGAUGUUCAUUUCUGAAGGAGAUGACGGUGACAUCACAGACACUGAUUUGUUCCUGUUUGACUUUCAAAGAUAACAGGAAAUGACAUGAAGACUCACCAGCUGCUUUCGGCAAUGAAAAGAGAACACAUUGUGAUUGCCAGGGUCUUUAACAUGCCCAGUACACUGUGAACCUCCAAGAGAAUAGAAAUUGACCACAAUACAUUUCGAACAGAAGGCCAUAUGAAGAUCUCCCAGACCAAGAAAAUACCAGCGAACAAAGCCUAGAAAAUGCUGUCUUCAGGAGGCUUGGAAGUACUUAAGCUGCUUUUGAACUCGGAUACCUGUUCUGCACCCUGGCCAGUUGAUGCAAGCCUAAUGUUUCCCUGUCUUUUCACAAACAACAAAGCUAAUGGCUAAGGUGCUCCUCCCAUGAUGCCAUGUUCUGAUACAGCCAGCGGAGCCGUCACCAGAGGAUGAACUCACGGGGCCUUCAAUCUUGGCCUUCUAGUUUCCGACAUGGCAACUGGAACAAGAUAGUCAGAAGGGGUCAAGGCGGGAAGCAAAGGCUUCCAGAGUCCAGAGGAUCAUUGACCUCGGGGGAGCGAAGAUGAUCCCUGUGAAAGCUUUGGCAAUGAAGUUCACGGUGCCGUCUGAGACGGAGAGAAAGCCGGCGAGCAUGCGAAGCCCCUCACUGAGAGAAAAGGGAAGAGAAAACAGCUCUGGUGACUGGGUCUGUUACAUUUCCCAGAAUGGUUCCCAGCGCUGGAGAUAAUUCCUUUUCGGAGAACCUACAUUUCUCACCUGCUGAUUGCAAUUAGCCACUGCCAGCUGGGGCCUGGUGUGCAGCUGAAAAGCUAACAAGAAGUGGAGACCACGCGGAACCCAGACAGGGCACAGGAUGUGCAUAAAUAAAGAAUGGUGCCCGCCCGUGUUUAUGAGCCGCCCCUGUGAAUUCCAGGCUGCCCAGCCCUCCGCACGGCCCUCCCUCUUCUGCCUCUGUGCCGCCUCUGGUUUUGCAGCCUACACUUAACAUCACAGUCACGAAUUUACCACUAAGUACAUUUUGUUAGGCAAUAAACAGCCUUGAAAGAAAAAUGAAAUCAGACGAGGACUUGUGUUGCAAGAAUGCUUGUGAGCAGUGGUGGGUUCAGGCAGUCUAGAGCUAAACUUGACCAAGAGAGGGCUGCCUCAGUUUAUGGACAAAGACAUUGAACCUCAGAAAGGGGUGGGGGGAGCAUGGCUUGUUGGCUUAUCCAAAGUCUUAGAAGAAGCCCCAGGAGGUCAAGUCCAUGUGCACACUGAUCCCCAGUUUAGGGCUUAAAUCGCUGAAGCGCCUUGCCUUUCAGCAUUGAGGCUGGAGAGUUUGGGAGGACAGCACCAAGGAGAUUGCGGGAGGUUAGCAGAGGGUCCGUCUCUACCGGGCCCUGUGGGCUCCCCACCUGCCGCAACACUUCCUUCGCAUCCCAUCGCUCAGCUCUGGCUCCCGCAGCCAGCCUUCCUGCCCUAGGUGUUUUCAUCCAGGCUUCCUACUCGUGUCUCCCUGGCCCACAGCUGCUGAUGCCCCCCAGAGCGAGUGCGCUCAGCCGUCAGGGUUGUCCUAGGGUUGUUCUGCAGCCAAAGGUAGGGAACGGACGUCUGAUAGGGGGAAGGGAGCAGCUGUCUCGGGAGCUUUCCUGCUUCUGCUUGGUGGGAUUGAGCAGCACCCUUCCCCGGCUGCCCCACUCCCAGGAUCCAGUCCUCUCUGCCUCACUCACCUUUCACCAGGACAGGCCUCACAUGACUCCGGGUCAGGAAGUCCCAUAGGCUGCCAGACAGCAAGCGCUAAUGAAAAGAACCUGGACUUUGGGCUGGGACUCCAGCCGAGCUGUGUCGUAGACGCGCCCCUCAGCCUGCUUCUUCUUGCAGCCCACGGAGACUCAGAAUACAACGCUUAGGAUUGGGAUUUCUGACAGGGCACAUGAAAGAGGCUUUGGUAGAAUAGGGUCUCUAUAAGAUUCUUGUUUUUCUUCCUUCCAAUACUAACUCUCCAUUUUAUGGAUGAGGAAAACCGAGGCCAAAGCAAGUAAAGUUGCUCUCUCAACGUUCUUUCAGCACCUCCAGUCAAUUACUUUAUCUUCGCUGAGGCGCUCAGGGAAGAAAUCGAGAUGAGCUUUGCUACCCAUGCUCCAAAGACAAGGACUUCCACAUGCUGGUAAUAUUUGUGAACAAAGGGGCUGGAGGGCAGAAGUGGGGAGAAAGCUCUGGUUUGCAGGCUUUCUGAUUUUGAUUUUGAGGUAAUUUUAAUUUCGACUCAUACGCAGUUAUAGAAGCAAUAUAGAGAUCUCUCUUCACCUGCUUUCUUGCAAUGGUACUGUCAUGCAAAACUGCAGUACAAUAUGACAACCAGCAUAUUGACAUGAUAUAAACCACCGACUUUCAUAUAUUCCCAGUUUUGCUUGUACCCAUUUGAGUGUGUGUAUGUGUGUAUGUCUGUUUAUUUCUAGGCAAUUUUAUCACAUCCUUAUGUUUCUGUGGCCGCCACUACAGUCGAGAUACAGAACUUUCUAUCACCACAAAGAUCCUCUGUUGUCACUGCCACCUCCCCCUUUUCUACCUUGUCCUGUCUUUAACCUUUUACAACCUCUAAUCUGUCCUCCAUUUCUCAAUUUUGUCAUCUCAAAAUGUUACAUAAAUGGACUCUAACAACUUAGAACCUUUUGACCUCGCAUUAUGUCCCCCAGCAUAAUUCUCCCAAAUUCAAUUCAAGUUAUUGUGUGUAUCGGUACUUCAUUCCUUUUUGUUUUUGCACAAUAUUCCACGCUAUGGGUGUAUUGCAAUUUGUUUAACCCAUUCUCCUGUUGAAGAAUAUCUGGGUUGCUUACAGAAUUGGAUUAUUAUGUAUAAAGCUUCUACAAAAGUUCAUUUACAGGAUUUUGUGUGAAUGUAAAUUCCCGUUUCUUUGGAAACUUUGCGCCCUUCCUAAGCAUGCAGUUGCUGAGUUGCACGGCAGCUGCAUGUUCACACGGUUGUUCUCCUGAUUGGCUGUACCACCCCACAGCCCCAUGUGAGUAAUCCAGUAAUGCCUACUCAUCAGCAUGUGGUGUUCCUGCUAGUCUUUAUUUUAGCCAUCCCGAUAGGCGCAGAAUGGUAGUUCUUGAUGGUUUCAGUUUGCAUUUCCCUCAUGGCUAAUGUUGCUGAACAUCUUCUCAUGUGUUUUUUUUUUUAUCAUCUUUUUGUGAAAUAUCUCUUCAUGUGUUUCGCUCACUUUCUAAUUGGACUAUCUGUUUUUAUUGUUGAGUUUUGAGAGUUCUCUAUGUAUUCUAGAUACUAGUCCUCUGAGUCAAAUAUGUGGUUUGCAAACAUUUCGUUCCAGUCUGUAGCUUGUCUUUUCCGCUUCCUAACAGGGUGUUACACAGAGCAAAAUCUGGUCAUUUGGAUGAGGUUCAAUUUACCAGUUUUUUUUUUUUUUUCAUUUUAUUGGUUGUAUUUUUGUGGGAAGUCUAAGAAGUCUUUGUCUAUAUCACAAAGACUUUUUCACCCGUUUUCAUUAUAAAUGCUUAUGCUACAGUUUUAUAUUUCAUAUUUAACUCCACGAUUCAUUUUGAGUUAUUUUUUUCUAUUAGGUAUGAGAUUUAACAAAAGGUUCUUUUUUAAAUUUUUGCCUAUGGAUGUCUAAUUGUUAAAGCAUUGUUUGCUGAGAAAGCUAUUCUUUUCCCCUUGAAUCACUUCUAUAUCUUAGUCAAAACUGAAUGGGGUGUAUUUCUGCGGGUCUAUUUCUGGGUUUUCUAUUCUGUUCAAUUGAUCUACACAUCUAUUUCUCUACCAAUAACACACUCUUGAUUACUGUGGCUAAAUAAUAAGCUCUAAUACAAUUGCCUUUCAUUUCUUACCAUAGAAAAUAUAACAAAACAAUCCUCAUAAGGAAAGCAAUUAAAGAGGAAGCAAUUAAAAACUGUAGGGAAAACAUAUUAUAGAAGUAUGCCAGGAAGUUAAUUAAUAGAAAUACUGUUUUUAAAACAUUUUUGUGAUGUUUUAUGGUGUUUUCGACCUUUCAAAUUUGUAACUCAUUGUGAUUUAUUUCUCAUGCUAAGUAAAUGUUCAUUUACAUACUUUAAAAAAAUAAUAAGCCUUACUAUUGGGUGGAGUGAUUUUUUUUUCUGCUUUUACAAUUCUUUUUCAAGAUUGUCUUGGCUUGGUCAGCAUUGUGCCAUAGUGGGUUGAGCUGCCACCUGUGACACUGGCAUCUCUUGGGCACCAGUUCUAGUUUCAGCCGGUCCACUUCCAAUUGAGCUCCCUGUUAAUACUCCUGGGAAAGCAGCAGAAGUACUUGAGCCCCUGCCACCCACGUGGGAGACCUGGAUGGAGUUUUAGCUCCUGGCCUUGGCCUGACCCAGCCCUGGCCAUUGCAGCCAUUUGGGGGAGUGAACCAGCAAAAUAAAUAAAUCAUUAAAAAAAAAAAAUUGUCUUGGCCAUUCUAGGGCAUAUGAUUUUCCAGAUAAAUUUUAGAGGAAGUUUAUUUGUGUCUACAAAGAAUCUUGCUGGAAUUUUGAUUGGAAUUGCAUUAAACCUAUAUAGCAAUUUGGGAAGAACUGACAUCUUCGCUAAGUCUUCUAAACCACAUAUUGAAAUAUCCAUUUAUUAGGUUUCUUGAUAUCUUUUUUCAGCAUUUUGUAAUUUUUGGCACACAGAUCCUGUAAAUGUGUUAAGUAUAUACUUGAGUAUUUCUUUUACUAUAUAGAUCUCACAAAUAUUUUGUUAAGUGCAAACCUGGAAUAGUAUUUGCAGUCACCUUGAAGUUACUGAAAAUUGUAUUCUGCUUUUAAUUCAGGUUUCCACAUAUCCACUGUUAACAAAUAAAAUGUGCUGCUUUUAUAUCCAGCAACUUUACUGAACUCCCUUCUCAGUUCUAGAAAUUUUGUGUAUGUGUACACUCAGUGGAAUUUUCUGCACAGACAAAAUGUCAUUUGCAAGCAGAGAUGAAAUUUUAUUUUUCCUUUUCUGAUCAUUAUCCUUUUUAGUGUUUUUUUCUUGCCCAUUGCACUAAAACUUCCUAUACUCUGGCAAAUACAAGUAGUCAGAAUGAACAGCCUUACUUUGUGCCUGAUCUUAGGGUGAGAGAAAGAAGUCAUUUACCAGUAAAUAUGAUACUAGCUGUAAGUGCCUUACAAAUGCUCUUUGUCAUUGUCAUUCCUGUUUGCAACUUAUUGAGUUUUUUCAUGAAAGGUGGUGGAUUUUCAAUUUUUUAUUUCUAUUGAUAUAAUCAGAUGACAUCUUUGUUGACUGAUGACUGAUUUUGAGUGUGGAACAAGUUUUGUAUAUGUAGAAUGAGUAUGGCAUAUAAUUAUUUGUACACAUUACUUGAUGAGAUUUGGUAAUAUUUUGUUGAGGAUUUUUGUUUCUAUGUUCAUGAGUUAUGUAGACCUGUAGUUUUGUGGCUUUCUACUGUCAUUUUAUACUUCUGGCGUCACUAAAACGCGGGCCUCAUGGAAUGAGUUGGGAAUUAUUGUUUCCUCAUCUAUUUUCUGGAAGAGAUUGAAUAAAAUUGCUGUUAAUUUAAAUGUUUUGCAAAAUUCUCCAGUAAAUUCAUCUGGGCCGGUGGGUUUUUUUGGGGGAGCUUUAAAUUACAAAUUUAGCUUCUUUAAGGGUUAUAGCAGUAUUUAUGUUAACUGUUUUUUCUUGAUUGCUAUUUGCCAAUUUGUGGGUUUUGAGAAACUACUCCAUUUCCCCUAACUUGUCAAGUGUAGGAGCAUGAUGUUGUUAUCUUUCCAAUGACUUCAGGCUCUGUGGUGAUAUCUUUUCUUUCAUUCCUGAUAUUGACAAUUUGUGUCUCUUCUGUUUUUGUACGUGUCAGUUUUGUUAGAUGUUUAUCAAUUGUAUUGAUUUUUUUCCCAAGAACCAGCUUUUUGUUUCAUUGAUUUUUUUUUCUGUUUUCAAUUUCAUUUCUUUCUGCUCCUUAGAGAGGGAGGGGGGAGGGGAAAUGCUCCCAUCCACUGGUUCAUUCCCCUAGACAUCACAAUGGCCAGGGCUAGGCUGGGGUUAAAAUCAGGAGCCAGGAACUCAAUCCAGGAUUCCCACUUGGGUGGCAGGAACCCAGUCACUUGAGCCAUCACAGCUGCUUUCCUAGGUCUGCAUUAGCAGGAAGCCCGGUACCAAACAGGCACUCCAACACGGAAUAUGAGCAUCCCAGCUAGUAUCUACACUAUUGGACAAAGGCUAGCCAUGGUUUCUGCCAAUAUUUUAUUAUUUCCAUCUAUCUGCGUGUUUGGCUUUAUUUUGAUCUUCUUUUUCUUACUAGUUGAGGUAGAAACUUAAAUUAUUAAUCUGAGAUCUUUCCUGUUUUCUAAUAUAAGCAGUUAGUGCUGUAAAUUUUCCCUUUCAGCAAUGGUUUAGUUGCAUCCCACAAAUCUUUAUAUGUUGUAUUUUAAAUUUAAUUUAGUUCUAUGUAUUUUAAAUUUAUUCUUUGAGACUUUCUCUUGGGCUCAUGGAUUACUUAGAAGUACAUUAUUUCAUCUUCAAUUAUUUGAAGAUUUUCUUGUCUUUUCAAAAUUGAUUUCUAUUUUGGUUCCAUUAUAGUGGAAGAACAUACCCUGUAUGUUUUCAAUGCUUUGAAAUAUGUUGAAGUUUGUUUUAUGGCUUAGGAUAUGAUCUUUGUAAAUGUUUAUUUUUUAAUCUACUUUAAAUGCAGAGCAACAGAGAAAGAGAGUGGAGCAUGACAGAGGAAGAGAGAGGAAGGAGAGAGAGAGAGAGAGA